rnacentral:rRNA from 1 species
GAUAAGCCUGGGAAACUGGGUCUAAUACCGGAUAGGAGCGCCUACCGCAUGGUGGGUGUUGGAAAGAUUUAUCGGUUUUGGAUGGACUCGCGGCCUAUCAGCUUGUUGGUGAGGUAAUGGCUCACCAAGGCGACGACGGGUAGCCGGCCUGAGAGGGUGACCGGCCACACUGGGACUGAGACACGGCCCAGACUCCUACGGGAGGCAGCAGUGGGGAAUAUUGCACAAUGGGCGCAAGCCUGAUGCAGCGACGCCGCGUGAGGGAUGACGGCCUUCGGGUUGUAAACCUCUUUCAGUAGGGAAGAAGCGAAAGUGACGGUACCUGCAGAAGAAGCACCGGCUAACUACGUGCCAGCAGCCGCGGUAAUACGUAGGGUGCGAGCGUUAUCCGGAAUUAUUGGGCGUAAAGAGCUCGUAGGCGGUUUGUCGCGUCUGUCGUGAAAGUCCGGGGCUUAACCCCGGAUCUGCGGUGGGUACGGGCAGACUAGAGUGCAGUAGGGGAGACUGGAAUUCCUGGUGUAGCGGUGGAAUGCGCAGAUAUCAGGAGGAACACCGAUGGCGAAGGCAGGUCUCUGGGCUGUAACUGACGCUGAGGAGCGAAAGCAUGGGGAGCGAACAGGAUUAGAUACCCUGGUAGUCCAUGCCGUAAACGUUGGGCACUAGGUGUGGGGACCAUUCCACGGUUUCCGCGCCGCAGCUAACGCAUUAAGUGCCCCGCCUGGGGAGUACGGCCGCAAGGCUAAAACUCAAAGGAAUUGACGGGGGGCCCGCACAAGCGGCGGAGCAUGCGGAUUAAUUCGAUGCAACGCGAAGAACCUUACCAAGGCUUGACAUGUUCUCGAUCGCCGUAGAGAUACGGUUUCCCCUUUGGGGCGGGUUCACAGGUGGUGCAUGGUUGUCGUCAGCUCGUGUCGUGAGAUGUUGGGUUAAGUCCCGCAACGAGCGCAACCCUCGUUCCAUGUUGCCAGCACGUAGUGGUGGGGACUCAUGGGAGACUGCCGGGGUCAACUCGGAGGAAGGUGAGGACGACGUCAAAUCAUCAUGCCCCUUAUGUCUUGGGCUUCACGCAUGCUACAAUGGCCGGUACAAUGGGUUGCGAUACUGUGAGGUGGAGCUAAUCCCAAAAAGACCGGUCUCAGUUCGGAUUGGGGUCUGCAACUCGACCCCAUGAAGUCGGAGUCGCUAGUAAUCGCAGAUCAGCAACGCUGCGGUGAAUACGUUCCCGGGCCUUGUACACACCGCCCGUCAAGUCACGAAAGUCGGUAACACCCGAAGCCGGUGGCCUAAC